rnacentral:rRNA from 1 species
UACAGAGGGUGCGAGCGUUAAUCGGAAUUACUGGGCGUAAAGGGCUCGUAGGCGGCCAACUAAGUCCGACGUGAAAUCCCCAGGCUUAACCUGGGAACUGCGUCGGAUACUGGAUGGCUUGAAUCCGGGAGAGGGAUGCGGAAUUCCAGGUGUAGCGGUGAAAUGCGUAGAUAUCUGGAGGAACACCGGUGGCGAAGGCGGCAUCCUGGACCGACACUGACGCUGAGGAGCGAAAGCCAGGGGAGCAAACGGG